AUGAGUCGUCAUGAUGGCAUCAACAUCCUCGAUGGAAAGUUCUACCUAGGAGAUGAUGGCUAUGCAUGUCGGACAGGUGUUCUUUCACCCUUCAGGAAAACCAAGUACCAUCUAAAUGAGUUCUCCUGUAGGAACUAUCCUAGGACUCCUCAGGAACUGUUCAAUCUCGGACACUCCAGCCUUAGAGUAACGGUUGAGUGGGCAUUUGGAGCUCUAGAGAAUAGGUUUAAGAUCCUGGAUCAGAAGUCAUUCCAUCCUUACCCUACGCAGGUCAAGCUUGUUCUUGUAUGUUGCAUCAUUCACAACUGGAUCCUGAAAUGAGGAAUUGAUGAACUUGUGCCGGAGGGGGAAGAUGUGACUCCUGAUGAGGUCAUCAGCUCCGGCCAUGGUGUGGAGGCAUUCGACAAGGAAGCGUGGAAGAAGAAGAAGAAGACUUGUACUAUCAUUUGCUAG
rnacentral:rRNA from 1 species